rnacentral:tRNA from 1 species
GCCCCCAUUGUCUAGUGGUUAGGAUAGAGGGCUGUGGUCCCUUUGAUGCGGGUUCGAUUCCCGCUGGGGGCC